AAGACUACAUGAGACUUUGACAGAUGGCGGGAAACCCUCAUCCACUGGUACGAACCCGGUAAAUUGAUGGCUGUAAAACAGUGACCGCUGAUUCGCAUCGAGUUCUUUCUUGCAAAACGCACGACCCCCCUUUUUUAUUGUCUAAAUCAUUGCGACUUGGAAUGCUCUUUAAGAAAAGGUAGAGGAAUGUCUGCAACUAAGCCGAGGGCCACUGGAUAAGGGUUGUUGAUGGUAAAACAGGUUAAAGACUACAUGAGACUUUGACAGAUGGCGGGAAACCCUCAUCCACUGGUACGAACCCGGUAAAUUGAUGGCUGUAAAACAGUGACCGCUGAUUCGCAUCGAGUUCUUUCUUGCAAAACGCAUGACCCCCCUUUUUUAUUGUCUAAAUCAUUGCGACUUGGAAUGCUCUUUAAGAAAAGGUAUGGUUAUGGGGGUCUCUAUGCGCAAAAGUUUGACUUUAUUUUUUGUUGAAGUUAUUGCUUUUACAUUGAAUUUGU